UUAUUUUUAAAAAGGAGUCCAAGUUUUCACUUAACCCCUCCAAACCUUUCAUCUUAACAAUAAAAAUAUAGCCAAACAGGCCCUUAACACCAAACGACCGUCUUGAAGAACAAACAGCACAAAAACGACUGUUCAUCAUCUUCUUCGUACAACAAACGAGCCCUAAGCAUAACCCCACGCUCUAAAUUCACGGGAACCCAACUGUAUUUGCCCUUUUCUUUUGGAUUGUUUCGUGUCAUCAUCUCACAGAACGGUAAUAUGCUGACCCAUUUCUGUUCUUCAAAUGGUAUUUUUUUUUCUUCAUUUUUCGUACAAAGAUUCGGAUUUCAAAGCAAAUAGAAACGAAUUUCAAGUUUCAAAUCCGUCCCACAUCAAAUUUGAACAUCUUAAACCCUAGAACUGGCCUUCUAUAAAUAGAAGACCAUUUUUUCAUUCUAAAAAGGAGAAAAAACAAUGGCUUUGGGACCAAAAAUCCUAAUUCUCAUACCAUUAAAUGGGUUUUUAUAACCCUAAGAGUGAGAACACUCAAUUUUGAGGACGUUCUCACUGAAGUAUAAUUUUUGGAAAUCGUUUCCGCUUGUCGGAAUCGAUUUGGGUGGAAAGGUUGUUCGUUGAUUCUCGUCGAGAAAAGAAAGCUAGCUAGAGGGUGUGAUGGGGUUGAGCAAAACUGAAGUGAACUUGAAGAGGUUACUUGUAACUGCACCACAACAGCAAAAUCAAGCAAAGCUUAUACAUUGGUUUGAUGGCUAUAUGUGUUUGGAUUUUCUCUCUCUUCCUCUUGCUAAAUUGUGCUAUUUAAUGGAGCUCAUAUAAUCUGUGUGGAGGUGAGCAUUUAAAAGAACACCUUUUUUGUGUUUUGGAAGCUUUGACUAUUUGUGCAGCUUCAAGUAAACUAGUAGCUCUGUUGAUUCACCAACAGACUGAAGGGCAACGAGGAUUUCCAUUGUCUGAUCCCUGUACGGUUUCAUCCUUAAAGAAGGCUGUGUAUCUCCAUCCUACUUUUGGGGGUUAAUAUCAGGCAAAGCUACUGAGAUUAAGUGGGUCUUUCCUAAAGUAAUUUUAUAUGGACUGUUUGCAAAUAGGUGAACCAGUGUGUCUUUGACGGAGAGAGAGGCUCAUGGACAACUCUAAAAUGUACUCUCCUAGUUUAGUUUAUUGUUGGGUAAAACUGUAAUGGAAUGAUAGUGUUCUACCGGUUUAGUAUUGGGACUUUAGUUCACUGCUAUAUAGUAUUUUCGUUCUCUAAGGAUACAUCUUUUUGGACUUCACAUGCAAAUUUGUAUACAACGUUGCACCCACUAGCAUGCCUUCAACACAUUUACCUGUCCAAUUAUUGUUCGGAGAAAAACUACUUUUUCUGACCACGACAUGAAUACAUCCUUUAAGUUGGGAAAUGGAAGCAACAUCAAAUUCUGAAGGAUAAAUGGUUAGAGGGGACGGUCCUAGUGAAUGAGUUUCCAGUUCUGUAUCAACUAGCCACUGCUAAAUACUCCACAAUCUCUCAAAACUGGCAAAACAAUAUCUGGGAUAUUCAGUUUAGAAGAAAUUUUCAAGAUUGGGAAAUUCCACAGUUGAUGAAUCUUUUGGCUAAACUAGAGGGAUAUUCAGUUAAUGAAAACAUGACCGACACCAUUAAAUGGAAGGAUCGCCUCUAUUCAGUCAAAGCAGGGUACUCUCAAUUGUGCUCCACUAAUGAAAUCAUAGACAAAUGGCCCUGGAAGUACAUCUGGAAACAAGGCUCCCCCCAAAGAUCAUUUGUUUCAGUUGGUUAGCCCUCAAUGAAGUUUGUUUGACCCAGGACAACCUCAACAGAAGAAGAAUACGUAUUGUCAAUAGAUGCCCCAUGUGUCAACAACAACUAGAGUCCAACAUACACCUUUUGCUACACUGCCCAGUUGCAGCAGACAUAUGGUCCAUGUUCCUCAGUAUUUUUGGUCUAAGUUGGUUUAUGCCUCAAAGUACUAAAGAAGCUUAUGAAUGCUGGUCUGGAUGGAAAGUUGAUAAAGCCAUCAAGAAAGUCUGGCAAAUGAUACCUGCCUGUAUAUUUUGGUGUGUUUGGACGGAAAGGAAUCGUAGAUGUUUUGAUGGGUUAUCAACUCCCACCUUCACUCUUAAAGCUAGAUGUUUUUUAUGGUUAUAUGUUGGCUUAAAUUAACCCCUGUAGACUGUCCUAUUACUUUCCUGGAUUUUGUCAGCUCAUUUGCUCUA